AUUGAACGCUGGCGGCAGGCCUAACACAUGCAAGUCGAGCGAGCGGCGGACGGGUGAGUAAUGUAUGGGGACUGCCCGAUAGAGGGGGAUAACUACUGGAAACGGUAGCUAAUACCGCAUACUAUCGGAUAACCCAUAUGGGAUUAGCUAGUAGGUGAGGUAAUGGCUCACCUAGGCGACGAGCCCUAGCUGGUCUGAGAGGAGGAGUAGCCACCUUGUGACGUGUACUCGGCCCAGACUCCUACGGAGUCAGCAGUGGGGAAUAUUGCACUAUGGGCGCAAGCCUGAUGCAGCCAUGCCGCGUGUAUGAAGAAGGCCCUAGGGUUGUAAAGUACUUUCAGUCGGGAGGCGUUACCGACAGAAGAAGCACCGGCUAACUCCGUGCCAGCAGCCGCGGUAAUUC
rnacentral:rRNA from 1 species